AGCUUUGAGCAGUGGCAUUAUCGUAGCCAAUGAGGUUUAUCCGAGGCGUGAUUAUUGCUAAUUGAAAACUUUUCAAGUAGACGCCAUACCCAGCGUAGAGCCCAACAUGCAACUUGAACUCAUAACCCUGA
ensembl:snRNA U4 U4 spliceosomal RNA